AGGGAUAUAGCUCAGUGGUAGAAUAUCGGCUUCAUAUGCAGAAAGUCCCAGGUUCAAUCCCCAGCAUCUCCA